UGCCAGCCGCCGCGGUAAUACAGAGGUGGCAAGCGUUGCUCGGUAUCACUGGGCUUAAAGGGCGCGUAGGCGGCGCGGUACGGUUCGGGUGAAAUCCCUCGGCUUAACCGAGGAACUGCCCGGGCUACGGCCGCGCUAGACAGCAUCAGGGGAAGGUGGAACUCCAGGUGGAGCGGUGAAAUGUGUAGAUAUCUGGAGGAACGUCAAUAGCGAAGGCAGCUUUCUGGUGAAUGACUGACGCUGAGGAACGAAAGUUAGGGUAUCGAACGGGAUUAGAUA
rnacentral:rRNA from 1 species